UACGUAGGGUGCAAGCGUUAAUCGGAAUUACUGGGCGUAAAGCGUGCGCAGGCGGUUUUGUAAGUCUGUCGUGAAAUCCCCGGGCUCAACCUGGGAAUUGCGAUGGAGACUGCAAGGCUAGAAUCUGGCAGAGGGGGGGUAGAAUUCCACGUGUAGCAGUGAAAUGCGUAGAGAUGUGGAGGAACACCGAUGGCGAAGGCAGCCCCCUGGGUCAAGAUUGACGCUCAUGCACGAAAGCGU
rnacentral:rRNA from 1 species